GAAAAUAUGUCUCGGGACAGAGGUAGGCCUUAUGAACGUGGAUCAGGGAGAAUUUGUGCUAUGAAAGACUGUACAAAUAGCCAGAGAAAUCUACGUAUAUGGAAGGAAUUGCCCUGUACAGUCCAUAAACUGCCACGGAAGGACUGCCCUUGUUUGUUUCCCUAUCAUCUCCAUAGGUUUCCUGUGAAUGAAGAUCGUCGUCGUGUUUGGGUGUCACGUGUUAAUCGGAAGGAUUUUCACCCAUCUGAUAGCAGUGUGAUAUGCUCAAUUCAUUUUUUGGAUGGCCAUCCAAGCAAACAAAAUCCUGAUCCAGUCUUAAAUUUGGGAUAUCAAAGAAAGGUGACACAAGGAAG